UACGUAGGGACCAAGCGUUGUUCGGAUUUACUGGGCGUAAAGGGCGCGUAGGCGGCAACUCAAGUCAUCUGUGAAAUCUCUGAGCUUAACUCGGAACGGUCAGAUGAUACUGCUUUGCUAGAGUGCAGAAGGGGCAACCGGAAUUCUUGGUGUAGCGGUGAAAUGCGUAGAUAUCAAGAGGAACACCGGAGGUGAAGACGGGUUGCUGGGCUGACACUGACGUGAGGCGCGAAAGCGUGGGGAGCAAACAGG
rnacentral:rRNA from 1 species